rnacentral:lncRNA from 10 species
CUGGUAACCUAGUUCCUUCUUGCUUCCUUUUGACAAGAAAUUUCGCUCUUGUUGCCCAGGGCUGGAGUGCAAUGGUGCAAUCUCGGCUCACCACAACCACUGCCUCCUGGGUUCAAGCGAUUCUCCUGCCUCAGCCUCCUGAGUAGCUGGGAUUACAGGAAGUACAAAAACAUCCUUGCCGUUUGCUGGAAUGAUGUACUGCUGAAGGCAAUGGACACUGGGGUUGUUUGUCCCUAAUCACAAAAUAAUUUGGACCAGUAUUUUUGAAGGAAGACGGAGACACCAGGUUUCAUAUAUCAUGGGGAAUUAAAGGUUGAACUAGACUGAAGCAAAUGGAUGAAAAAAGUAGAAUAUGGUAAAUCCAGAAGAAGAGCAAUCUUGUCAGAUUACUUAAAAGAAAAGUUCGAGCUUGCAGUGAGCUAUGAUCUCACCAUUGAACUUCAGCCUGGAAAACAGAGCAAGACCCUGUCUCUAAAUAAAUAAAUAAAUAAUUAAUAAAGCAUAUGGGUCACUCACCAUGAUCUUCUUCUUAACCCCCACCCAAAGCCCUUCAGG